GGGCAGGUGGCUCAGUGGUAGAGUGCUUGCUUUGUAUGCAUGAGGCCCUGGGUUCGAUUCUUCAGCACCCCA
rfam:Dipodomys ordii contig_47086, whole genome shotgun sequence.